AGAGUUUGAUCCUGGCUCAGAUUGAACGCUGGCGGCAUGCCUUACACAUGCAAGUCGAACGGUAACAGGUCUUCGGAUGCUGACGAGUGGCGAACGGGUGAGUAAUACAUCGGAACGUGCCCAGUAAUGGGGGAUAGCCCGGCGAAAGCCGGAUUAAUACCGCAUACGCCCUGAGGGGGAAAGUGGGGGACCGCAAGGCCUCACGUUAUUGGAGCGGCCGAUGGCUGAUUAGCUAGUUGGUAGGGUAAAGGCCUACCAAGGCGACGAUCAGUAGCUGGUCUGAGAGGACGAUCAGCCACACUGGGACUGAGACACGGCCCAGACUCCUACGGGAGGCAGCAGUGGGGAAUUUUGGACAAUGGGGGAAACCCUGAUCCAGCAAUGCCGCGUGUGCGAAGAAGGCCUUCGGGUUGUAAAGCACUUUUGUCAGGGAAGAAAUCCUUUGGGCUAAUACCCUAGGGGGAUGACGGUACCUGAAGAAUAAGCACCGGCUAACUACGUGCCAGCAGCCGCGGUAAUACGUAGGGUGCGAGCGUUAAUCGGAAUUACUGGGCGUAAAGCGUGCGCAGGCGGUUCUAUAAGACAGGUGUGAAAUCCCCGGGCUUAACCUGGGAAUUGCAUUUGUGACUGUAGGACUAGAGUGUGUCAGAGGGGGGUGGAAUUCCACGUGUAGCAGUGAAAUGCGUAGAUAUGUGGAGGAACACCAAUGGCGAAGGCAGCCCCCUGG
rnacentral:rRNA from 1 species